AUACAGAGGGUGCAAGCGUUAAUCGGAAUUACUGGGCGUAAAGCGCGCGUAGGUGGUUCAGUAAGAUGGAAGUGAAAUCCCCGGGCUUAACCUGGGAACUGCUUUCAUAACUGCUGAGCUAGAGUACGGUAGAGGGUAGUGGAACUUCCUGUGUAGCGGUGAAAUGCGUAGAUAUAGGAAGGAACACCAGUGGCGAAGGCGCCUACCGGGACUGAUACUUACACUGAGGUGUGAAAGCGUUGGGAGCAAACAGGAUUAGAUACCCUGGUAUUCCACGCCGUAAACGAUGUCAACUAUCCGUUGGGAACCUUGAGUUCUUAGUGGCGCAGCUAACGCACUAAGUUGACCGCCUGGGGAGUACGGUCGCAAGAUUAAAACUCAAAUGAAUUGGCGGGU
rnacentral:rRNA from 1 species